GAUGUUUUCCCCUCUGAAAUUCUUGGCCAGAUACAGGCAGAGGCUGCUCGACUGUUCAUAAGCUUGGAUCUCAAACAACAUCAGGUUCUUCGCCCUCUUCUCCCUGGAUUUCUUUCACGGCAGCUGGUUGGCUGAGAAAAGUGUUUUCCUUCAAGGCGAGGUUGUUGGGUUUUUUUGGAAACCUCCGUGCCUAACUCAUCACCAUGCAGCUUCUGCUGGGAGUUUUCUUCUUCUCCGUCCUCCUGGCUACAGGCAGUGCCUUGACUUGUGAAAUAUGCACCUCACAAGGUUCAGAUUGUACUGGUCAUACGCAAGAGUGUAAUUUUGACAAUGCUGUCUGCAUGACAUUGACGACUGAAUUAGGUGAGUAAGACAAGUUCUCUUUUCUUCCCAACAAGGGAAUAAAUAACGUGGAUUUUGCA
rnacentral:lncRNA from 1 species